rnacentral:rRNA from 1 species
AAAUUGAAGAGUUUGAUCAUGGCUCAGAUUGAACGCUGGCGGCAGGCCUAACACAUGCAAGUCGAGCGGUAGCACAGAGGAGCUUGCUCCUUGGGUGACGAGCGGCGGACGGGUGAGUAAUGUCUGGGAAACUGCCUGAUGGAGGGGGGGAUAACUACUGGAAACGGUAGCUAAUACCGCAUAACCUCGCAAGAGCAAAGAGGGGGACCUUAGGGCCUCUCGCCAUCAGAUGUGCCCAGAUGGGAUUAGCUAGUAGGUGAGGUAAUGGCUCACCUAGGCGACGAUCCCUAGCUGGUCUGAGAGGAUGACCAGCCACACUGGAACUGAGACACGGUCCAGACUCCUACGGGAGGCAGCAGUGGGGGAAUAUUGCACAAUGGGCGCAAGCCUGAUGCAGCCAUGCCGCGUGUGUGAAGAAGGCCUUCGGGUUGUAAAGCACUUUCAGCGAGGAGGAAGGCGGUAAGGUUAAUAACCUUAUCGAUUGACGUUACUCGCAGAAGAAGCACCGGCUAACUCCGUGCCAGCAGCCGCGGUAAUACGGAGGGUGCAAGCGUUAAUCGGAAUGACUGGGCGUAAAGCGCACGCAGGCGGUCUGUUAAGUUGGAUGUGAAAUCCCCGGGCUUAACCUGGGAACUGCAUUCAAAACUGACAGGCUAGAGUCUUGUAGAGGGGGGUAGAAUUCCAGGUGUAGCGGUGAAAUGCGUAGAGAUCUGGAGGAAUACCGGUGGCGAAGGCGGCCCCCUGGACAAAGACUGACGCUCAGGUGCGAAAGCGUGGGGGAGCAAACAGGAUUAGAUACCCUGGUAGUCCACGCUGUAAACGAUGUCGAUUUGGAGGUUGUGCCCUUGAGGCGUGGCUUCCGGAGCUAACGCGUUAAAUCGACCGCCUGGGGAGUACGGCCGCAAGGUUAAAACUCAAAUGAAUUGACGGGGGGCCCGCACAAGCGGUGGAGCAUGUGGUUUAAUUCGAUGCAACGCGAAGAACCUUACCUACUCUUGACAUCCACAGAAUUUGGUAGAGAUACCUUAGUGCCUUCGGGAACUGUGAGACAGGUGCUGCAUGGCUGUCGUCAGCUCGUGUUGUGAAAUGUUGGGUUAAGUCCCGCAACGAGCGCAACCCUUAUCCUUUGUUGCCAGCGAUUCGGUCGGGAACUCAAAGGAGACUGCCGGUGAUAAACCGGAGGAAGGUGGGGAUGACGUCAAGUCAUCAUGGCCCUUACGAGUAGGGCUACACACGUGCUACAAUGGCGUAUACAAAGAGAAGCGACCUCGCGAGAGCAAGCGGACCUCAUAAAGUACGUCGUAGUCCGGAUUGGAGUCUGCAACUCGACUCCAUGAAGUCGGAAUCGCUAGUAAUCGUAGAUCAGAAUGCUACGGUGAAUACGUUCCCGGGCCUUGUACACACCGCCCGUCACACCAUGGGAGUGGGUUGCAAAAAGAAGUAGGUAGCUUAACCUUCGGGAGGGCGCUUACCACUUUGUGAUUCAUGACUGGGGUGAAGUCGUAACAAGGUAACCGUAGGGGGAACCUGCGGUUGGAUCACCUCCUUACCAAGAAG